rnacentral:rRNA from 1 species
AUUGAACGCUGGCGGCAGGCUUAACACAUGCAAGUCGAGCGGAGAUGAGGUGCUUGCACCUUAUCUUAGCGGCGGACGGGUGAGUAAUGCUUAGGAAUCUGCCUAUUAGUGGGGGACAACAUUCCGAAAGGAAUGCUAAUACCGCAUACGUCCUACGGGAGAAAGCAGGGGAUCUUCGGACCUUGCGCUAAUAGAUGAGCCUAAGUCGGAUUAGCCAGUUGGUGGGGUAAAGGCCUACCAAGGCGACGAUCUGUAGCGGGUCUGAGAGGAGGAGCCGCCACACUGGGACUGAGACACGGCCCAGACUCCUACGGGAGGCAGCAGUGGGGAAUAUUGGACAAUGGGCGGAAGCCUGACCCAGCCAUGCCGCGUGUGUGAAGAAGGCCUUUUGGUUGUAAAGCACUUUAAGCGAGGAGGAGGCUACCUAGAUUAAUACUCUGGGAUAGUGGACGUUACUCGCAGAAUAAGCACCGGCUAACUCUGUGCCAGCCGCCGCCGUAAUAC